rnacentral:rRNA from 1 species
UACGUAGGGGGCGAGCGUUGUCCGGAUUUAUUGGGCGUAAAGAGCUCGUAGGCGGUUUGGCAAGUCGGGUGUGAAAACUCCGGGCUCAACUCGGAGACGCCACUCGAUACUGCCAUGACUCGAGUCCGGUAGGGGAGUGCGGAAUUCCUGGUGUAGCGGUGAAAUGCGCAGAUAUCUGGAGGAACACCAGUGGCGAAAGCGCGUGACUGGGCCACAACUGACGCUGAGGAACGAAAGCUAGGGUAGCGAAAGGG